rnacentral:rRNA from 1 species
UACGUAGGUGGCAAGCGUUGUCCGGAUUUACUGGGCGUAAAGGGCGUGCAGGCGGCUUGUUAAGUGCAGGGUGAAAGCUCCCGGCUCAACUGGGAGAGGUUCUUGCAUACUGGCGAGCUCGAGGGAGGCAGAGGAAAGUGGAAUUCCCGGUGUAGUGGUGAAAUGCGUAGAUAUCGGGAGGAACACCAGUGGCGAAGGCGACUACCUGGCCUGUUCUUGACGCUGAGGCGCGAAAGCUAGGGGAGCAAACGGG